UGUGUUCUUGCCCGCGCUUGUAGCCGUCCGGCCGGUGUCCCAACGUGCCCACCCGUCCAUCGCUGCUUUAUCAUUGUUACAGUCCAGAGUCCUUUUUAAGCUGCCGUCCUGCUGCUGGUUCUUGAUGACUGCCCGGAGUCUUGAUGACUGCCCGGGUCUCCUCAUGUCCUUUGAUUCAAACAUUGUUAGUUUUAAUGCACAAUGAUAAACAAUAACAAGCCUGGAUGUGGAUACAGACAAGACGUUAAGGUACAAUUAAAACAUUAGGUUUUUAUCAACGUAACUGAAUAAAUUAAAGGUUAUGAACACACAAGCCUAGUUAUAUCUCAUGUAUAACGGAGACGUGAACACCAGCGGAGCAGGCUGCUCUCUGCGGGGUGAGAUGAGGCUGAGGGGUCUGACGGUCCCGUUAACUACACCUCACAUCUCCCACAUCCUGGAGCUAAUAGAAGGCUCAAUGUUGACACACUGACAACAAUAGUGUUGCUUAAGUGACUAACUUCUGCUCUGAAAAAGUCCUAAAAUUCCAUUGAGUGACAGUUGUGUUUACUCUCCUCUGCCAUUGUUGCCUGUUGCUGAGGUGAAAUGCAUUCUGGGAUAUUUUGCUCUCACAAAGACGAGUCUCCUCUAAUGGGCGGGGUGAGUCACAAUAGGUAUUUUGAGCAUCCUUGGCGAGACGCAGACUUUAGAAUUGGAUCUGGCUGAUCACGUCCAGACAAGAACGCAAAUUGAGAAAAGGCCGUGAAAAGGUAUGAGUGGGUUGAUGUGAGAUAUCGAUACACGCAGAACAGAAAAACUACUAUUUUUAUCUUUACUUUGCAGCACAGACUAAACUACCUGUUUGGAUGGAUCUGAGAUUCUGCAUGAAUUCUGGCGUUUUUGCGGUCACCAGUUCUCGAUGCUCUUGGUCCAAUCGCCUCCCAACAGCGCUCUUCCUCACUUCCUCCCAGUCCUUAGUCCGAGUUACACACACAAGACGAUAUUAAAAUAUGAAAACAUUCUCAGUGCACACAGGUGACCAAUCAUCAGGGUGCAGAAUCACUCAUUUGUUCGUAGCACAUCACUGUAACUUCUCACCGUGUUUGGGAAGGCCUCUCCUUUGUAGUACGACUUGUCUGCUGGAUACUCGAUUCCCUUGUUGCGUAGCUGCUUCACGCUUACAGCCACCAAA